rnacentral:lncRNA from 1 species
AUGCUUCUCUAAGCAUAUUGCAGCAACUUGGUCUCUAACUUAUUUGAGCUCACCUAAUAGUUAUUGACUAUACUCCUUAGUUAAAUCCGACCCACCAUUUACAAGCAGAUGCAAAGCCGUCAUUGGAUCUCUCACCUAAUAGUUAUUGGGCCCAACCCCAUCCUUAUCUUGGAGCAACUCUUUGCUAAUAGAAUGGCUGCAUGUUUUCGAUGCAACUGAACCACUAUGACCAGUCGAGAACAAUCAACAC